GGCUGCUCUGAAGGUAGUGAGUUCUCGAUUGUUUACAGUCAGUUACAGAUGAAACUCCUCGUUCUACUUUUUCCCCCUUCUCACUACUGCACUUGACUAGUCUUUU
ensembl:misc_RNA Y_RNA Y RNA